rnacentral:rRNA from 1 species
GAUGAACGCUGGCGGCGUGCCUAAUACAUGCAAGUCGAGCGAACAGACGAGGAGCUUGCUCCUCUGACGUUAGCGGCGGACGGGUGAGUAACACGUGGAUAACCUACCUAUAAGACUGGGAUAACUUCGGGAAACCGGAGCUAAUACCGGAUAAUAUAUUGAACCGCAUGGUUCAAUAGUGAAAGACGGUUUUGCUGUCACUUAUAGAUGGAUCCGCGCCGCAUUAGCUAGUUGGUAAGGUAACGGCUUACCAAGGCAACGAUGCGUAGCCGACCCGAGAGGGUGAUCGGCCACACUGGAACUGAGACACGGUCCAGACUCCUACGGGAGGCAGCAGUAGGGAAUCUUCCGCAAUGGGCGAAAGCUUGACGGAGCAACGCCGCGUGAGUGAUGAAGGUCUUCGAAUCGUAAAACUCUGUUAUUAGGGAAGAACAAAUGUGUAAGUAACUAUGCACGUCUUGACGGUACCUAAUCAGAAAGCCACGGCUAACUACGUG